rnacentral:rRNA from 1 species
AUUGAACGCUGGCGGCAUGCCUAACACAUGCAAGUCGAACGGCAGCAUGAAUAGGGGUAACCUUAUUUGAUGGCGAGUGGCGGACGGGUGAGUAAUAUGUAGGAAUCUACCUAGAGGAGGGGGAUAACUUGGGGAAACCCAAGCUAAUACCACAUAAGCCCUACGGGGGAAAGCAGGGGAUCGAAAGACCUUGCGCCUUAUGAUGAGCCUACAUCGGAUUAGCUAGUUGGUGGGGUAAAGGCCUACCAAGGCGACGAUCCGUAGCUGGUCUGAGAGGAUGAUCAGCCACACUGGGACUGAGACACGGCCCAGACUCCUACGGGAGGCAGCAGUGGGGAAUAUUGGACAAUGGGCGAAAGCCUGAUCCAGCAAUGCCGCGUGUGUGAAGAAGGCCUUAGGGUUGUAAAGCACUUUCAGUAGGGAGGAAGGUUGUAAUGCUAAUAUCAUUGCAAAUUGACGUUACCUACAGAAGAAGCACCGGCUAACUCUGUGCCAGCAGCCGCCGUAA